rnacentral:lncRNA from 1 species
GGACAGGUGGCUUUAUAAGAAGAGGAAAAGAGACCUGAGUUAGCACACUCAAACUCCUCACCAUGCGAUGCUCUGUGCCUCCUUGGGACUCUGCAGAGAGUCCCUACCAAUAAGAAGGCUCUCACCAGAUGUGGCCCCUCAACUUUGGACUGCUUAGCUUCCGUAACUAGGAGAUCUCUGAAGAAAUUGCUGAUGAAAGUCCAACAGGCUCUUCCAGUUUGUCUGGUCGGUCACAUUUGCUGAAACCUGGAGGAAUUGUUAGUGGAAGCUCAACAGGCCUGACUCAGUCUGACUGUCCAUUCUUCUGGAAGCUGCAGAGAAAAGAAACCUGGAAACCUUAUAUGCUGACAAAAAGGGACACAAUUGGAUAUGAUGGUUAUUUUACCAAGGUUUUGAAAUGUCGUGCUUUCAAAUAUAAACAGACUGCUUUAAGGAAUCGAAGUUGACUUAUAGAGCCAAUAAAAGCCCUGCAGGAAAGCUG